CCAGUGAACAUCUUCCAUUGAAGCUUCUAUGAUUAUUUCACAAUAUUCAGCAAUCCACCCAAUGCUAACUGGGGAUGUUUGAUUUUGCAGCCUCUUUCAGAGCAGUUGCUAAAAGUCGCUCCACAUCAUCAGAGGGCUUCCCUCCCUCAGUCCAUGAGAGCAACUAAGUUUUGCAUCAGUGAAAGGAAGAAAAAGCAGGAGUCUGGAUUACAUGAUUUUUUGUUCCAGCUACUCUACGUGUGUCUGCUGUAUUCUUCGGUCUCUGGAGACUAAUUUCUUAUAAACAUUUCCAUAUAGGAAGCGUAAAAGAACAAAAAUUAGUGGGAGAUAGGCUUCCUGAGGGAAAGGACCACGUUUCUCCUAUUUACCAUGCUGUCUCCCGCUCCAGCACAUCUUUCAGCGAUGCUGACCUGCGGAAACCAGAGCAGUACAUGGUGUGUACUACGCUAUCCUAAGCUAUUAUAAGCAUUGCUUCUUUUUCUUCUCCCACCCAGAAACUUGAAAGUUUUCUUUUCCUUACUCUGUUCCUCUGUGAGUU
rnacentral:lncRNA from 1 species